ensembl:snRNA U6 U6 spliceosomal RNA
GGGCUUAAUUUGGCAGUACAUAUACUAAAAUUAGAGCAAUACAGAGAAGAUUAGCAUGAUCCCUGCACAACCACGACAUGCAAAUUCAUGGAACAUUCCAUAUUUUU